CCUACGGGGGGCAGCAGUGAGGAAUAUUGGUCAAUGGGCGGAAGCCUGAACCAGCCAAGUCGCGUGAGGGAAUAAGGCCCUACGGGUCGUAAACCUCUUUUGCCGGGGAGCAAGGGCCGGGACGAGUCCCGGUCCGGAGAGUACCCGGAGAAAAAGCAUCGGCUAACUCCGUGCCAGCAGCCGCGGUAAUACGGAGGAUGCGAGCGUUAUCCGGUUUUAUUGGGUUUAAAGGUUGCGUGGGGGGGCUUUAAAGUCAGCGGUAAAAAUUCGGGGCUCAACCCCGUACGGCCGUUGAGACUGGGGGCCUUGAGAGGAGGAGAAGAAGGCGGAAUGCGUGGUGUAGCGGUGAAAUGCAUAGAUAUCACACAGAACCCCGAUUGCGAAGGCAGCCUUCCGGCGCCCUACUGACGCUGAGGCACGAAAGUGCGGGGAUCGAACAGGAUUAGAUACCCUUGUAGUC
rnacentral:rRNA from 1 species